UCGAGAAUCUUCGGCAAUGGGCGAAAGCCUGACCGAGCGAUGCCGCGUGCGGGAUGAAGGCCUUCGGGUUGUAAACCGCUGUCGUAGGGGAGAAAGGGUCGUUGAAGAAACGACUUUGAUCUAUCCUAGGAGGAAGUCCGGGCUAAGUUCGUGCCAGCAGCCGCGGUAACACGAACCGGACAAACGUUAUUCGGAAUUACUGGGCUUAAAGGGUGCGUAGGCGGUGCGGUAAGUGCGGUGUGAAAUCCCACGGCUCAACCGUGGAAUUGCGCUGCAUACUGCCGUGCUAGAGGGAGACAGGGGUAAGCGGAACUGAUGGUGGAGCGGUGAAAUGCGUUGAUAUCAUCAGGAACACCGGUGGCGAAAGCGGCUUACUGGGUCUCUUCUGACGCUGAGGCACGAAAGCUAGGGUAGCGAACGGGAUUAGAUACCCCAGUAGUCCCUGAGCGGGCUGGCAAGGCG
rnacentral:rRNA from 1 species